UUUUCUUCUCCUCUGCCCGAACCCCUCUCCUUCCCAUGCGAUUUAUGCCUGACGUCGCACCUCUUCUCCGCGCGUCGCCCCACACCAGACGUCGACUUCCCCUUCCUUCUCAUCCCUUCUCCUUGAUUUCCCAUCGCCGAACCCGUGCCGACCUCCUUCUUCUUUCCUCUCGUUCUCUCUUUCGCAGACGAAUCAAAGAUGACAGAACAAAGAUUCUACCUUUGGUGAUCGUCGGUGUCGCCUGAGGAGGAAAUCGUCAGAGCUCGACGGUGUCGAGGAAAUCCAAGCUGUAUUCGGUCGAGGGGUCUCUGCUCCGGUGGUGCCUACGGCCGAACGACAACUCCUUGGUGGCUAGGGCACGGUGAGGAACAAGAUUUUGGGUCGUCUCCCAACCGAUCGACCUCCUCUUUUCUCUCCUCGCACUUCUCACAGUGAGAUCCACAUCUUCACUGGUCGGAUCAGACCAAGCCAUGCCAUCGGGAGGUGAUCAAGAAAGGUCGAAACAGUGUCACCUACUCACUGGCUAGGCGUGGUAAUCUUCACGAACCAUCAUCACAAGCCAGCAGCUACUUCUGAUCUAGAGUUGGUAAGGUUGUUGAAUUAAGCUUGAUUGAUCUAAAGUAAAGGUCUAGGUACAGGGCUGAUUUGGGGAAUCGAUUUGGGUGGCUAGCAGCGUCAUCCAACUUCGACCACUAAUUUCCAGCAUCAAACUUCUCCGAUCGUGGGUUAGCAUUAGCAUGAUCGAAGUUAGGACUUUGAUUCGAGACGAGCGUCUCGACAUCGGAUUUCUGGAUACGAUCUUCUUUUGAGGCGGGUAUUUCUUGACUUAUCCUUUAUGAUAUUGUCACUUUGAUAUGCAUAGUAAUUUAUAGCUAGUAGCAAUGAUCAUGCUUAGAUUUGCCCUUGGUAUGUCACUAUUUGAUACCUAUAGCAUGUUCUGUUAGUUGCCUGUUAUGUAUCCAUGUUUAUAUCUCUUGAUUAUUGUCAUGUGUACCUUAGUUCCUCGAGUAAGUGACAUACUAGGCUUCACUGAGUAUAGGACUAGUUUUCUAGAUUUUAUUAUCUGGCAUGUGUACUUAGACCUAUGAUACCUAGGUCAUGGUAUGAUCUAUUUUCCUAUUUGCUACAUAUUAUGUGGAGGUCAUUAUGGUUAAGAUGUACAUGCUUAGUGUCAUGCACCAUCUUGCAUGAUUGCAUGAUGUGCGAUUGUUGGCUCCAUUAUUGUUGAGCACAUCUCCAGUUACAUGACCUGCGCAGACACAACCACUCAUGGGUUAGUGGUAUUUCAGGCAGGGUGUGUGUUGUAGUUUGCUCUGUCAGGGCUCCGCUGGUCCACUCAUGGGCAGCAAUGACUGCAGCGUGUAGAGGGCAGGGAUCCCUCUUCGGGACUGACUUAGGGAGAUGAGAGCAUUGAGCUCCCCCACUCUGUUUGGGGUAGGAGGAUAGGUGUACUCCGACAGCAUCUUGUCCACUCGGUCACUCAGGAGCAGUGAUGGCAGAGUGCACAGUUGUCAUAACUCUACCCACUCGGUCUCACCAUCGCGUGUUAGAUGGCUGACUGGCGUCAGGGGUGACACAUGUCAUUUUUGCAUCAUAUGCAUUGAUUGCAUUUAUGGUUUGUGAUUGAUGCACUUUGUUUGUUGCAUUUUGGUAGUUGCAUAUGAUUGACAUGCAUACAGGAGAUAUUAUAUAUCUGGUCUGAUGACCCUUACAUCUGGAUAGGAGGUCCUGGUGAGUACAGUUCUUCUUUUGCUAUCUUUUCAGUUUACAUUUCUUAUUAUUGAUCAGAAGAUUGUACUCCAUUAUUAUUUCUGUUAGUUAUAUCUUAGUAGGCAUGUUAACUUGAUAUCUGCUGAGUUCUUUGAACUCACACCGUUGAGCUAUUUCUUUUUCAGGUAGUAGGUAGAUUUGUGGAGUCGCUUGGAGUAUCCUGUCUGUCGGUUCCCACGUCACAUCCGAAGACCUGUUUUUGAUUUUCAUUUGUACUUUAAUUGGUCUAUGUUUUGGUUUACUUAGCAAUGUAGAAUUUUGGUUUUGGUUCCGGAGUGUUGUGAUGUGGUGUUUUGUAUUGUUUGUUGUGUUGUGUAAGUCUAGUUGGCUAGCAGUCAUUCAUUUGGUUUGUAAUGAUUUUCUGUUGUAUUUUCCGGGGUGUUCUUCUUUUAGUACAGCCGAGUUGGCUGUUAGAUAUAUAUAUAUAACUGCGUGGUUGUAUUUUUAUCGUUACAUCCAAGUGGACUGAAUAUAAAUUGUGUGAUUGUGUAUA